AGUCGACGGUACAGAACUAGCUUGCUGGUUGCUGACGAGUGGCGGACGGGUGAGUAAUACUUAGGGAUCUGCCUCUGUGUGGGGGAUAACUAUUGGAAACGAUAGCUAAUACCGCAUAAUGUCUACGGACCAAAGAGGGCUUCGGCUCUCGCGCAGAGAGGAACCUAAGCGAGAUUAGCUUGUUGGUGAGGUAAAGGCUCACCAAGGCGACGAUCUCUAGCUGUUCUGAGAGGAAGAUCAGCCACACUGGAACUGAGACACGGUCCAGACUCCUACGGGAGGCAGCAGUGGGGAAUAUUGCACAAUGGGGGAAACCCUGAUGCAGCCAUGCCGCGUGUGUGAAGAAGGCCUUCGGGUUGUAAAGCACUUUCAGUUGUGAGGAAAAGUUAGUAGUUAAUACCUGCUAGCUGUGACGUUAACAACAGAAGAAGCACCGGCUAACUCCGUGCCAGCAGCCGCGGUAAUACGGAGGGUGCGAGCGUUAAUCGGAAUUACUGGGCGUAAAGCGCACGCAGGCGGUCUGUUAAGCUAGAUGUGAAAGCCCCGCGCUCAACGUGGGAGGGUCAUUUAGAACUGGCAGACUAGAGUCUUGGAGAGGGGAGUGGAAUUCCAGGUGUAGCGGUGAAAUGCGUAGAGAUCUGGAGGAACAUCAAUGGCGAAGGCAACUCCCUGGCCCAAGACUGACGCUCAUGUGCGAAAGUGUGGGUAGCGAACAGGAUUAGAUACCCUGGUAGUCCACACCCGUAACGCUGUCUACUAGCUGUUUGUGGAUUAAUUCGUGAGUAGCGAACCUACGCGAUAAGUAGACCCCCGGGG
rnacentral:rRNA from 1 species